GACGAACGCUGGCGGCGUGGAUUAGGCAUGCAAGUCGAACGGUAUCAUCCUUUCGGGGGUGAGAGAGUGGCGAACUGGUGAGUAACACGUAGGUUAUCUACCCUCAAGACGGGGACAACCCAGGGAAACUUGGGCUAAUACCGGAUGUGAGCAACUUUUAGUUGUUUGAAAGGUGGCGUAAGCUGUCGCUUGGGGAUGAGCCUGCGUCCUAUUAGUUAGUUGGUGAGGUAACGGCUCACCUAGGCAAUGAUAGGUAGGCGGCCUUAACGGGUGGUCGCCCACACUGGGAUUGAGAUACGGCCCAGACUCCUACGGGAGGCAGCAGUCGAGAAUAGUCUACAAUGGUCGGAAGACUGAUAGUGCGACGCCGCGUGAACGAUGAAUCCCUUCGGGGUGUAAAGUUCUUUUAUAUGUGAGCAGUGCUUCUUAUAUUAACAGUAUGGGGAGAGAGAUAUUAGCAUAUGAAAUAAGCAACGGCUAACUCCGUGCCAGCAGCCGCGGUAAGA
rnacentral:rRNA from 1 species